rnacentral:rRNA from 1 species
GCCGCCGCGGUAAUACGGAGGAUGCGAGCGUUAUCCGGAUUUAUUGGGUUUAAAGGGUGCGUAGGUGGCUUUUUAAGUCAGUGGUGAAAGUUUGUGGCUCAACCAUAAAAUUGCCAUUGAAACUGGGGAGCUUGAGUGUGUUUGAGGUAGGCGGAAUGCGUGGUGUAGCGGUGAAAUGCAUAGAUAUCACGCAGAACUCCAAUUGCGAAGGCAGCUUACUAAGCCAUAACUGACACUGAAGCACGAAAGCGUGGGGAUCAAACAGGAUUAGAUACCCC